UUCUGUUGACUUUGUUUGUUACAAUUUCUUUUGAUUAUUUUUUAAUUAAUUUCCUUUCAUUUUACUAAUUAAUUGAUUCAAUUGAUUUAAUUACUUUACUUUAGUGUUAAAGGGCAAAUUUGUUUGUGUCAAAGAGUAAAGGUGAACAUCCAACAUUUGGGUUACUUUGAGUUUUAACCUUUCGCUUGAAAUUAUUGAAUUGAAUUUGUUUCAAUUGAUUUUCCUUUUCGUAACUAGAGACAAGGUAACACUCUAGUGACCACAAUUAACUGUGAUAAUCUGUUUGAAAGCUAAAAUCUCUGACAUUUUGGAAAAUUUUGUCAUAAGCUUGUCAACAACAAACGACAAUCUUGAAAAUCAAUCUUGAUCAAUUGUGGUUUUUUUUUGGUGUUUUGGUUAAUCAAUCUCACGGAAUUAAAUCAUUUACUUGAAAGAAUUACAUGUAAUCCAUAUAAUAUUUAUAUUCCUGAUUUGUGGUCAACCUUCAAUCAACUUGGACACUUAAUCAAUCAACUAAACCAAUACAACAAUUAACACAAUAAAUUGUCUCUCAUACAAUCUUAGUCAAUUAAUCAUUUGUAAGUAAAUCUAUCAAUUAAUUAGUAGUAUAUUAAUAUGAUUGUUUAUCAUCACCUUGUAACCUUUUUGAUUUGCCUUAGCAACAUGACGCAACUUAACCCUAACCUUUUAUGCUUAAAAUAACAACACAGUUUAAAUUUGUAUCAGUCGCCAUUUUGUUUCAACCCAAUACUCUAGUAGUUGCUAGUUUAUUAUAUUCACUGAUUGUGUUUAUAAUAAUAUUAAUUGUUAGAUAAUUGUUUCCCUAAAUUAUAAAUACUAAUUGUUUUAACUGAAAAACAAUCAUUUAACCUUCAAAUGUUAAUGUAAAAGUGAGAAACCAUCAUCAUCAUUAUCAUUUCAGUUUCCCUCUUUCAUUUUUUUUUAUAUAUAAAAUCCCAUCAAGUAUAUGGUCAUAAGUUACAAUGUAAAAAUCAAAUUGAAUCAAAUAGUUGAUUGAUAAUUGUUAAUUUCUCCAUCUAACUAAUCAAUUAUCGCCAUUUUUUCAUUGUUGUAAAUAUUAGUUUCAAAUUGUUGUUAAAAGGUUGGUAACUUUUACUUACCAGCAAACAUUAUUUACGGUUUACCUUGAAUCCUUUUCGAGUAGCCUUCCCGUUAGCCUAGUUAAUUAACCAGUAACAUAACAGUUAACCAUUUAGUGUUGACUCUCACCCACUUUUUUAUAACUCACUCACUCACUCUCUCUCUCUCUCUCUCUCUCUCUCUCACUCACUAUCUCUCUUUCACUCCCUCAUCAUCAUCGUUAUUAUUACCUUUUUUGACACAACAACAAGUCUAACAUUUGAAAUAAUUUUCUUUUCUUUUUUUUAUUCGAUUUCAUGAUUUUCUGUUAAUAACAAUAUCUACAGGAACUAUUAUUCAUUUGUGUUCUAGUUCCGUGUAUGUGUGAGUGUAUUUAUGUGAAAGUAACAUUUAUAUUCCACCACCACCACCAUCAUUACCUCUGAAUUCACCAGAACAAGGAAUUGAUUGUACAAUAGUUUCUCUCAAUUGAAACUCUUUGAAUCAUCUUCUCGUUUGGAUAUUUUUUCAUUUUGGAAAAGAAUUUUUUUUUAUUCUUUCCUUUCUCUCUCUUUCUCUUUCAAUCUCUCUUUCAGUGUUGUAACAUGUUGUUUUUUUCUUCUUUGGCCUGAGAGACCUUGAGAUUCAGUGAGAGGGGAUAAGUAGACAAACAACAACACUGCAAAGGGAAAGUGUGUGUGUGUGGAAUAAGAGUAAAAAAAAAGAAAGAGAGAGUUGAAACUGUUGCUAACUCGUCUACUACCUUCUUGUAACACUCCCAAAUUAUAUCUUCUAUCAUCACACUCACACACAUCUCUCAUCAUCAUUACAACCUCAUCAUCAUCUCACCAGUAACACAACAAUUACAAUUUACCCUUUAGACAAUAAACAAUCAGAAAGAAAAAAAAAUAAUAACAUGAAUCACUCAUGAAAUAUGAAAAAUUGUUUACUAACCUCAAGGAUUUUCACUUUAUAGUUUUCGGUGCUUCAAUGAUAUGUCACAUUAGUGAAUAAUAUUAUUUUCGAUCACAAUUUAUAACAAAGAUAAUCAUCAUCAUAGAAAACAAUAUAAACUCAACGUUGAUUUUUGCUCUCUCUCACUCUGACUCUCCUAAGUGUUUCUCUCUCUCUCUCUCUCUAAUCAACCCAAUUAUUAACUCGACUUAUAUGUUUAUUUUUUCAUCUUCUUCCUUCUACUGUUGACAUUUUUGUGACUCUCUUCUUAUAUAUUCUUGUCUCUUUUUCUCUCUCUCUCUCAUCAUUUCUGUUUCCUUGUUCUCUUUUUUCUGUAUAUGAUCUGUGAUAAAAUCAUCUUCAUCUUUAAUUAUUUUCACCAUGAUGCCUAAAAUUAACCCUAACCAG